UACUGGCAGGAUCAACCAGGUAGCAUUCCUUCGCGACGCCGACGCCCGCAUGAGGCCCGACGGGCCGUGCGGCCCUCGGACGCUCAAGACGGGCGCGGCAGUCGUUCGUGUCGAGGGACGAAAUGCGUUGCUUGGGCAAACGAAGGCCGAGAGACCCCGCACCCGCGCAUAACAUUCUGCAUCCGAGAGCACGGGCAGAGCACCUCAUGGGCCAGGGCAACCACGCAAGCGGGCGAGGCAUGCCGGGACCACGAGGCUCGCCUUGCGUCCACCCCACCACCCG
rnacentral:misc_RNA from 1 species